UACAGGGGUUGCAAGUCUUGUUCGGAAUUAUUUGGCCUAAAGCGUUCGUAGCCGGUUAAGUAAAUCUCUUGUGAAAUCAUCGGGCUUAACUUGAUGACGUGCAGGAGACACUGCUUGGCUUGGGACUGGGAGGAGCUGAAAGUAUGCUGAGGGGAGCGGUAAAAUGCAAUAAUCCUCAGUAGACUACCUGUGGCGAAGGCGUUCAGCUAGAACAGAUCCGACGGUGAGGGGCGAAAGCUAGGGGAGCGAACCG
rnacentral:rRNA from 1 species